rnacentral:rRNA from 1 species
GACGAACGCUGGCGGCGUGCCUAAUACAUGCAAGCAGAACGCACAGUUUAUACCGUAGCUUGCUACACCAUAGACUGUGAGUUGCGAACGGGUGAGUAACGCGUAGGUAACCUGCCUGGUAGCGGGGGAUAACUAUUGGAAACGAUAGCUAAUACCGCAUAAUAUUGAUUAUUGCAUGAUAAUUGAUUGAAAGAUGCUAUUGCAUCACUACCAGAUGGACCUGCGUUGUAUUAGCUAGUAGGUGAGGUAACGGCUCACCUAGGCGACGAUACAUAGCCGACCUGAGAGGGUGAUCGGCCACACUGGGACUGAGACACGGCCCAGACUCCUACGGGAGGCAGCAGUAGGGAAUCUUCGGCAAUGGACGAAAGUCUGACCGAGCAACGCCGCGGGAGUGAAGAAGGUUUUCGGAUCGUAAAGCUCUGUUGUAAGAGAAGAACGGGUGUGAGAGUGGAAAGUUCACACUGUGACGGUAUCUUACCAGAAAGGGACGGCUAACUACGUG